AUCUCAGAUUGCCAUAUCUUUUCGCCUUUUAAGCCAGAAACCAUUUAAUUUCUGUUGAUAUCCUUUUGACUAUAAACCAAUUACAUUCAUCUACAUUGAAUAUUAAAGUUCACUUCAUUAAAUGACCAGCUCAUGAAAUACAUUUUUCUCUUCAGAGCUUGUCCAAACAAAGGUCUCUGUGAAAGCGUAUAUUUUCUAUCCUCAUGGAAAGUUUCAGAAGAAAAGAUUCC